GUUUUUCAUGGGGUAUCAAUGAAAGUUUGGUGUAUUGGCCAAAUCACUUGCAAGCAUCUUGCUUUUAAACUGCCAUAUGUAAAGUCACACUUUUAAAAGUAACUAAAAGCAGCUGAAAAUAAGAAUUUUUUGAUGAACUUUCUUACUUCGGUUGGAGGAGAUGAGAAACAACUUUCCGCGGCAAUCUUAAUACAGCUAAUGGCCAAAGAAGUAUGUUUUUCAUAAUCAGUGUAUGGAAUGAAACAAAAAACGUCCUGCUAGGUCAUUAUAGAGUUGUGUUUAGUCGUUUAUCGUUGUAUUCGUUCAUUUCGAAAUCGCUACUGACAAAAGUAUUAAAGAAAAAAUUGGCAGCUUUCUGGCGACGGCCAUUAAUAGAGAUUACAGAAGAAAAAUAGAACCGUAACUGAGCAACGCCCAAUAUUGAGCAAUGAAAUAAGUAUCGCCAAUAUAAUGAAAGUCGGUGCCCACUAUCUCAUAGUGAGAGUAUA